rnacentral:rRNA from 1 species
AGGUUGAACGCUGGCGGUAUGCUUAACACAUGCAAGUCGAACGGCAGCACAGGGUAGCUUGCUAUCCGGGUGGCGAGUGGCGGACGGGUGAGUAACGCGUAGGAAUCUACCUUUUCGUGGGGGAUAACCCGGGGAACUCGGGCUAAUACCGCAUACGCCCUACGGGGGAAAGCGGGGGACCUUCGGGCCUCGCGCGAAACGAUGAGCCUGCGUCCUAUCAGGUAGUUGGUGAGGUAAUGGCUCAACCAAGCCGACGACGGGUAGCUGGUCUGAGAGGACGACCAGCCACACUGGGACUGAGACACGGCCCAGACUCCUACGGGGGGCAGCAGUGGGGAAUAUUGGACAAGUGGGGGAAACCCUGAAUCCAGCAAUACCGCGUGUGUGAAGAAGGCUGGUUGUAAGCACUUUAGUACAGGAAGAAAGAACUAAUAGCGACUAAGUACCGCCGUAA